GAGCCAUCCCCGGGGAGCGUGCUGACGCUGAGAGGGGCGCGUAGCACCGCCCGACCCGUCGAACCUGAACCGAUUAAGAUCGGCGGAGGGAGUGGGCGGGCCUCGAUCC
rnacentral:ncRNA from 1 species